ensembl:lincRNA
AUGGAAGUGAUGGCAUUGGCUGGCAUCCAGAAUCCCAAGCACCUCGCCCUUUGGAAGUGUCACUUGCCCUUUGGAGAUGUUCAUGGCAGAGCCCAAGUCCGGGGAAGUAGCAUAUACCUGGGGAAACUCUUCUUCCACAACCCAGUACCUAUUAGUCCAAAGCUACUUGAGCCCUGGGAACAGCAAUGCCAGGUGAGAGGGCAGGGCUUGUGUUGAUAUCCAACUACAAUUUUCUUAUAUCCAGUCACUGAUGGACUGUCUAACCUAUUUACAGAGACACUGAUAUCAUCCAGCCAGCAAGCAGAAUUCUCUGAAGGUCUUUCCGACAGUGCAUCGUCGCCUCCCUUGCCUCCUUACAAUGCUGUCAUCUGCUCCUUGGUGAACACAUCUCGGCACCCCCCACUCAGAAAUAACACCACAGCUUCUUGAUUCCAUCUACUUUCCUACACAAGGGAAAGCUGUGCACAACCGGGGGAAUGAAGUCCCAGACUCCACACAGGGGAUUUCCGUAGGGUCUUCUAUAACUGAAGGCCACUGGUAACUAGCCUGUAGCCAGUAUGGUGACUGAAAGUAGAUGGAGGUGCACUUCUAGAUCGGUUCUUAGACCCAUGGGUUAAAGCCUCCUGCCUCGCCUGUGACUCAGGGUCCGUCCAGUGAGGUUCCCAGGUUCAGAACACGCUCCCUCCUGAGCGAGGAGGGGUGCUGACACUAGAUGGCAGGAAAGGGUCAGUUUGCCUGUCUCGACCCCCACCAGGGCUCCUGUCUCCUUUAGUUAAAGGCAAGCUCCUGGACUGAGGCCACAGGGAGAGGAUGAGUGGUGAGUUGGUGUUGGAUCGGUAUACACACGUUGCUUAACAUGCAACUGUCAAUCACUAUUCUACCAAAUCAACCUCCCUCACUGGAAUAGCAUCUCUAACUGAACACCUUGGUGGGAGCUGACUCAGCCUCCCAUCCAUAAGACGGAGAAUGGUGCCUCCCUAAUGGAGCUGUGAAAAAUAAUGAAAUAUAUAUAUAUAAUGUCCAAUGUGCAGUAUAUACUCAUAAAAUGUGGCUUUUAACUACGACUUUUAUAUUUCUGCUGAGAGUAUCACCUUUCUGCGGUAACCCCAGGGACCUCGUGUUAAUCUUUGUCUUAGACUGUUAGGUCCCUUCAUAUUCAGGCACCAAAUUCUAUUCAGUUUUUCUCUAAAGUGUUCAUUUCCACUAUCAAUAUUAGGACACGCACACAUUUUUUUUUCAUGCCCAGACCACUGUUACUGCCUGCCCACGGGAUGAAUUAAGCGAAGCAUUCGUUCGAGAAACAUUUAUUGAGCAUCUAAUAUAUGUACUGCUUAAUGCCUUGGGACAAACAACUCCUGCUCUCCUGGUACUUAUGUUCUUGUGGGUGGAGGUAGCUAAUGUGCAAAUCAACAAAGGGAUAAUCAAGAAAAAAAAAAGUCACUGGUGGUAAGUGAGAAACAAACACCAAAGCGGACAGUGAUGGGAGUAUGAGUAGCGGGGGCGGAGAGGAAAUGGAGACAACACAGACGAUAGAUGGUUAGGGAAGAUCUAUUUCGGGAGAAGCUACUGGAGCAGAGGUCUGAAUGACAAGCAUGUCUGUCAGGGGCAGCGAGUGAAUGGGUCUUCGUGUAAGGGUGAGACAGGCCCGGGGGAAGGAUGGAGGGCAGGGCCCGUGUGGUUGUCACAUGAGCGGGAAGGGCACAGUGACAAGAGAUGAAAUCGAAGAGGAGAGUGGGACCCUAUCUUGUAGGACAAUCAGAUGGUGGAGAGCAUAGGAAGCGCGCUGGGUCUCAUCAGAAGCGUCUUAUUAGCUGCUGGAGGUCAAGAACAUGAUGUGACUGAUGUUUUAUAAAGCUCACUCUCCUUGCCCAGUGGAGAAUGGACCGGGGGCCUGGCAGGAGGGGAAGCAGAGUAGCCUGGAGAGAGGCUGGUGGCUGGUACCACUGGAGACAGAGCAAAAAGGAAAAUACAGGAUAUGGUUUUAAGAAAAUUCCACACUCAUUUUCCCGAGGUCAUUUCUCAACUCUCAAAACUUUGUGGCCAGCUCAUUGUACUUCCCGCUGAAUCAAAUCUAAAUAAAUGUGGUUUCAAG